AUGCACAUUACCCCUGCAAGAGGUGUGGGGAUAAAUCCAACAGUGAAGUGGAUCCCUCCUCCUCCUGGGAAGAUGAAAAUUAAUGUAGAUGCGACAGUUUUUCCACGUGGAAAUUUCGGUACUGCAACUGCAGUUUGCAGAAGCGAGCAAGGCGAGUUUUGGGGAGCUUUAGUUUUUGUUAUACAUGGUCUUUCGGAUCCAUCUUCUCUUGAAGCAGUGGCUUGUCGAGAAGCUCUUUCUCUGGGAGAAGAUCUUGGACUAUAG
rnacentral:rRNA from 1 species